rnacentral:rRNA from 1 species
GAUGAACGCUGGCGGCGUGCCUAAUACAUGCCAGUCGAGCGAACAGACGAGGAGCUUGCUCCUCUGACGUUAGCGGCGGACGGGUGAGUAACACGUGGAUAACCUACCUAUAAGACUGGGAUAACUUCGGGAAACCGGAGCUAAUACCGGAUAAUAUAUUGAACCGCAUGGUUCAAUAGUGAAAGACGGUUUUGCUGUCACUUAUAGAUGGAUCCGCGCCGCAUUAGCUAGUUGGUAAGGUAACGGCUUACCAAGGCAACGAUGCGUAGCCGACCUGAGAGGGUGAUCCGCCACACUGGAACUGAGACACGGUCCAGACUCCGACGGGAGGCAGCAGGAGGGAAUCUUCCGCAAUGGGCGGAAGCCUGACGGAGCAACGCCGCGUGAGUGAUGAAGGUCUUCGGAUCGGAAAACUCUGUUAUUAGGGAAGAACAAAAGUGUAAGUAACUAUGCACGUCUUGACGGUACCUAAUCAGAAAGCCACGGCUAACUACGUG